GCGGCGGGCAGCACCGGGCCGACUGCGCCCGCCUGAGAGGAACACGGGGGAGGACGUCCCCCAGCCGGAGAAGCGCCCACACACCUCGCUCGCUCUGUCUCUCGCUCUGUCUCUGCCCAGAGCCCGGUUUGAAGGAGACACACUGCGAUGGCUCCACCUGAGGGGCUCAGCCGCCAAGCCAGUCCCCCCGCACCAGGGCUGGACACCAGAGCGGGGGGACCGAACGUCUGGCAGCUCGGGGCGCGCGAACCCACACCUGUCGUUUGAGAACUGCCGCGUGCCUGCUGCUUUACAGAUUGGGGAUUCUUACACAAUGAUCAAAGAAGCCCAAACUUUUUCCUUUACUCCGAAGACUUUAAACACUGGACCGUGACCUUCUUAGGGACAGUGUGACUUUGCUCCUCUCUCACACUCAGCCUAGAGACGGUGCCCAGAUCGGAAAUAAAGCAGCUGACGAAAAAUGUUUGAUUUCUUUAUACACGUUUUACUUUCAUAGCCACCGAAAAGACUGUGUUUCAUUUCCUCUAACAGACUCUGUCCACCAGUUAUGUUGCCCAAAACAUAUCGCUAUAGCGACAGAUAGAAAUAUCUAUGGUACAUUUAUACAGACAGACACGCGUUCUAAAGCACUGGGAAGAUACAGACGAGGCUUUCACACAACUGGGGGCCUCUCAGGUGCCACUUAAGUAUGAUCACUGGGUUGUCUUACAGAGGACUCUCGAUGGGCUUGGUCUGGCCACGAGUCCCAGGUCCCAGAGAGGACUUAUUUAAAAGGGGACAGCGUAACUAGGCCGCGGUCAUCGCCACACUUCGGAGGCCAUAAAUGGAAAUAGGAGGCGCCAGGCUAAGCGGGACAUUGCACGUGGGAAGCCACCACUUUCGCCACGUGGAUUCAAAGCACUCGGGUGCUGCAGUGUAGACGGACGCCCAGCCCACGCUGGGGGCUGAGCUGGCCCGAGCAAGCGUACGUCUGGGAGUAGUGCCGGCUGAGCCCCACUGUCCCUCAGGGCACCGCUGUCACUCGUGUGCUUUAGAACUGCUGAGGAGCUCCCGUGUGGGGACCGCGUGUCCCAUCCGUAGGGAGCAGGGUCCUGUUUCCCCUGGGUGACCACGUGAGGAAGGGCACUGAAGCGAGAAGUGGCCAUUGCGAGUUCCCAGGCCAGUGUGGCGUUUAGAAGCAGGGUCACAAGGCCCUGUACAAACCGUGCCUGUUCUGCUCAGGGCUAGGCCCAGGGCACCCUGGCUGGUGGUUCUCUUGAUGGUGCUCCUUAACGCAGGACAGGCUCUCUACCUUCCGCCCUCCUGCACUGGGCC
rnacentral:lncRNA from 1 species